rnacentral:lncRNA from 1 species
UUUUUCUUUAUUUAUACAGUAAGAUUGCAGAAUGAGAAAAAAUACUACAAUUGCUGAAAUUCCCCUGCUCUUUAUGUAGAGUAAAUAGCACUUCAUAUACACAAGCAUCACUCGUAAAAUACAAAAUAGAGACAUUUACAGUAAUAUUCUGUACUAUCUUUAGCUACAGAUUAAUAAUUUUCCUCACAAUCUUACAACACACAAUACAUAGAGAAAAGCAAAUGAAAACAAAUUAUGUCACAGGAAUGAGACUGCAUCAACUAUUAGAUUAUCUUUUACAGCUGAUAUAAAGACAUAAUCUCCUGAAAGCAUGCCACAGGGUCAUAAUUUUCCGAAGAGGAAGGCUAUAUUCUGGAGCUAUAUGCUUUGUAAGGACUACGGUCUGCAGAAAUGCUAAAAUGCACUGAAAGGAGUGACAUUUAAAUCUAAUUAUAGACAGAUUUUCUAACUCAGCAGACAAUAUAAUUUCCUCUAUAGUUUAGUGAAGCUAUUUUAAAAAUAGCUUUCUUGAUUAUUCCAUUUUCAUAACCAGAGCCAUUACAAUAUAAAAUGAUGAGGUGGAAAUGCAGUUUUCUGCUUUAACAUGAAGCAGAAGAAAUACAUCUUAGGGAGUUCAUUUGGGGGGCUGGAGGAGAGAUCUUUUCUUGCUGCAAAGCAUCACACUAUUUUUCAUCAAUUUAAUAUCUAAAAGAAGUCCUUUGGGAGCAAAAUCACAAAAUUAUAUUGCACAAUUGUAUGUAAAAUGCUGUGAUAUAUAUUUUUCAUAAAUGUUUAAUGUUUUAGGAUAGUUACAUCCAGAUUAUCUUUCAGUCUGAACCUCCCAGAAGACAGGGAGGAUUUAUAUGAUCCUGUGGUAAUAGCCCAUUUUGCUCUCCCAAAAUAAUGUCUAUCUAUCACAGAAUAUGAAUGGGAACGUCUAAGCAAAAAGAAGCCUGUGGCUAAAAAUUUUGGAGCGUCUAUCUUCAAGUUUCAGAAUUGGCACUUAGGGAAUUAACCACAAGAAUCUUGGCUUUCCUGAGCUGUUACAGGUUCUUUUGUGCAGUGUUGCUUCAGGUCUGUUUUCCUCUUUGCCUGUGGAAACCAUACAUGAGCCACAUAAAGCAACACGAGAGAGAAGGCAGCAAGCCAGCAGCUGCAGUGUCCCUGGCAUGUGUCCAGCAUUUCCACCCCAGACCAGACACCAUGGGAAGUCACUCAGGCCAGCUCUGCCUGAGGUGCUGUGCUGGAAGCUGAUUACUUCUUGGGCAGCGUCGAGACAGCAUCUGAAACUCAUCCUAAGAACUUACCCCAUGUGAUCCCCAUGCAGAGAGCCACAUCCAGGACCAGACUUCCCUACUUCAGCAUGGUAUCUUGGUCUGGAGGUGAUGUGCACUAUCCACUAGGUCUCCAAUGGGCUGGAACUGUUGUGUUGCAGGCAUGAAGACACUCAGUGCUACAAAUGAUAACAGCCUCAGAAACAUCUCCAAUCGCUGGAGCCCAGCUGCCUAAGGCAGAGCCAAAGAGCAGUUAGUGCCAGACCAGGCUCCAGCACACUGGCCCCAGUACAUCCUGCUGUGUGCACAUGUUGUUCUGUGCAAACUCACAGCCCAGGGCAAGGAGGCCCAGGAACACAGAGUCAAAUGGAGCUGAAGCUGAAAGCUGUUUUGACAAGUUAAUGUGACCUUUCUGUGAAUGGGUAAGAGGGUGUGUGAGCUGUCAGAGAGAAUGUCACCAGUGCAGGGUCCAAGCUUUUGUCUGCCAAUGUAACACAAGUUCAACUCAGCCCAUUGCAUUAAAUUGAUUUCACAAGUACACAAAUUCUACAGCAAUACAAACUGAAUAAAAAGAGGCAAAAGGAUGUAGCACUAGUGCCCAACAGCUCCACUAAACUUAGACUGGGACCAGGCCCCAGUUAACCAAAAUCAGAAACCAUGCAAAUAUAGCCCAACUACUGUAAAAAGUCAUUACAAACAGACCAUUUAGUGUGUAAUCCAUUCCAAGUCUGUAUGUUUUUA